ensembl:lncRNA
UGUGUACCCAGUUUGUAUAUUAUAUUUCGAUCAAGUGAAAUUCGCUUCAGGUAAAAAAAUCCGAGAUUUUAUGGUGUCGGUUUCACUGCCCACCCCGGCAUGGCCACAGACCAGCAUUCUGGCUCCCAUCUCCACCCAGAUGGACAGAGGACAGACAGGCAACUCCGACAAGAUGGGAACCUUUAGACAGGUUCUGAUUACUAAUGGAGUUCAGACAGAAGAAACCAACUGGACUGCUAACAAUGAGGUAGAGGAGAUUAUCAUCCUGCCAGAUGAGGAAAGAUUUCAGGUGAAACAAGAGAAGGAAGACUUAAAGCUAGAGGAGAUCAAAGAACAGGAGAAUGACACAGAGGAUGGGAAGACAAGCAGCGAGUGCCUCAAGACGAGGUUUAUCAGGUGGCUGAGGAGGAUGUGCUGCUGUGCCUGCUUCCCUGAAAUCUGCAGCUGAAAUCUCCUUCCCACUGCAGCCCCCAAGAGCUCACACACAUACACACCAAAGUCUAACUCAGCUAUAUAAACUGGGGGAAAUUCUG